AUAUUCAUCCACUCCUCCAUAUUGCAAUCCCCUCCUCCUCCGUUCCAUUGCUCUGCUUCAACUGAAUCUGUGGCGCUCACACUGGCGCUUGCACUUGCCUUUGCUCCUAUAUCAUCAGCAGCAACAGGAGAUGAAACUGAAGACGUGUAAUCCACAAAGGGGAAGUUGAGUUUAGCCCUUGGCCCACGGAAUCCAAUCGCGGCUCGAUCAUAAGCUCGAGCCGCAUCUUCGGCGGUUUCGAAAGUACCAAGCCAAACACGUGUGGCUCUUUUAGGAUCUCUGAUCUCAGCUGCAAAUUUUCCCCAAGGUCUUUGCCUAACUCCUCUGUAACCAUUCUUCUUGUUCUUCCUCUUCCUGAUUUUCCCGCCACCUUCCGCUUUCUUCGCCACGGGAGAGCUCUCUCUUCUUCUGUUACUACUACUAGUAAUCUCUUCUUCUUGUUGAUGAUUCUUUUCAAUUCUCUGAUUUGGCGCGAAAAAGUAGUUACAGCCGAGACAUCCUUCGAUCCUACAGACUUGACAAGUGUCUGAAUCCAACCGAGGCAUUCCCGCGCUUAUCACUGUGCUGUCACUGGAAAAACCCUGACACGGCGCCGUUUCGUUUUCCCCUGAGAUCACGUGUUGCAAAGCAGAGACAAUAACUGAAAGCUCUUGCUCCGGUG